GAAGGACAGAGGGAAGAAAAAGAGAGAAAAAGAAGAGAAAAUAGGGUUGAAAACUGUGUCUUUUGCUCCUUCAUUCUUGAGGAUUAUUUCCAGAAGAAGAAUUGUAAUAUUCAUUGGCCUCCCCAGGAGUGUGCAUGCAUGGGAAUGUGUGUGAAUGUUUGUGUGCAGCCCCGGGUGGGAAACAGUGCUGUGUAAACAGUGUCGAUGUAUCCCACCAGCUAACAUUCAAAGUUUUCUUUGUUAAUGAUACUCUGAAGGAGAAUAAAAGAUGGAACUUGAUGCUAUGCCAUACAAACAAAAAUAAAUCAUUUCUAAGCCAGUAGGAAAACGUAAAUUAUGAAUUUGGUUUGGAUUUCAUUUGAGUUUGCAGAAUUAUUAGGCCAUGACACCAUACUGUUUGAAGGGAAUGUUUUGUCUUUUCAUUCUAGCCAGUAGCAAAUUAUCCCAAAGGAGAUAAACAUCUAAAAGAAGGGAACUAAAACAGAUAAGGAAGUUAUUGCUCAGGAAAGUAACAGACUUAUUCAAGGCCACCCGGAAAAAAGCAGCCACAGGGAAGGUACCUGUAUCCCUGAAGAGAUUGAAGCAAAUAAAUCAUUUACCAUUUAGAAGAAAGGAAGGGUGAGCAAGGAAGACUGAUGAGAACUGGAGUGGGAGGAAUUCCCUUCCCUAAGCAAACAUAAAGCUCUGUGCUCUGGAAAUGUCUUUUCCCCCUGAGAGUCUGCUUUUGUUAUGAGAAGGCUCUGGGCAUAUUUCAGAAUGAUGACUCUUCCUUCUUUCUGUGAAAGCCAUUAGAGAAUCUUUCUCUUUAUAAUGAGAACCUAAUAGAAUUCUUGGAGAUAAAAAUCAUAAAAUAUGGGGAACCCCCUGAGCCUGCAGCCCUUUGGUGUUUCUCACUCUCGUGGUAGUUCACAUUCAGCCUCCAGCAAUUUGUCAAAAUUAUUACUCAAGUGUACCUACCAGUAUAUGACUUGGUUGUAUCUGUUCCAGGUAAACAGAUCUCAGCUGUGUUUUUCUGCAUGUACCUGUUGCCCAGAUUUUGAGGUGAUCCCCGUUUGCCCUGCUAUCUCAGUUCUCCAGUCAUCACAGGUCAUUUAUUUUCAGCUUAUUUUUUGUAAUAAUGUGAACGACAACAUCCAGUCUGUCUGUGUGUCAGAGGUGGAGCUGGAAGUCUACAGAUUCAGGGUAGCUUUAUUCAUAAUCUUCGAACAUGGAAAGAGCCCAAAUGUCCAUUCACAUUUGAACAGAUAAACAAGUCUUGGUAAUUCCAUCUAAUGGAAUAUUACCCAGCAAUGAAACAUCCAACAACAUUUUUAUAAAUAAAAGGAAUCAGACACAAAAAAUUAUAUGGUGUUUGAUUUUAUUUGUAUAUAAUUCCAGAACAGGCAAAAAUAAUUUAUUGUGAUAGAAAGCAGAUCAGUGGAUAUCUGGGGCAAAGAAUAGUAGAACUGAUUGCAAAUGUGCAAUAGGGAACUUCUUGAAGCAAUGAAAAAUCUUGAUUGUGGUAAAGUUUAUAUGUAUAUAGAUAUUUGUUAAAAAUUUCAAACUGCACACAUACAAUUGGUACACUUUAUGUUACAUA